rnacentral:rRNA from 1 species
GACGAACGCUGGCGGCGUGCCUAAUACAUGCAAGUCGAGCGCAAGAAACUGACGGAACUCUUCGGAGGGAAGGCAGUGGAAUGAGCGGCGGACGGGUGAGUAACACGUAAGGAACCUGCCUCAAGGAUUGGGAUAACUCCGAGAAAUCGGAGCUAAUACCGGAUAGUUCAUCGGACCGCAUGGUCCGCUGAUGAAAGGCGCUUCGGCGUCACCUUGAGAUGGCCUUGCGGUGCAUUAGCUAGUUGGUGAGGUAACGGCCCACCAAGGCGACGAUGCAUAGCCGACCUGAGAGGGUGAUCGGCCACACUGGGACUGAGACACGGCCCAGACUCCUACGGGAGGCAGCAGUAGGGAAUUUUCCACAAUGGACGAAAGUCUGAUGGAGCAACGCCGCGUGAGUGAUGAAGGUUUUCGGAUCGUAAAACUCUGUUGUAAGGGAAGAACACGUACGAGAGGGAAUGCUCGUACCUUGACGGUACCUUACGAGAAAGCCACGGCUAACUACGUGCCAGCCGCCGCAGUAAAAC